rnacentral:rRNA from 1 species
CAACGCCGCGUGGAGGACGAAGGCCUUCUCGGUUGUAAACUCCUUUCGGCAGGGACGAAAAAAAAUGACGGUACCUGCAGAAGAAGCCCCGGCCAACUACGUGC